GAGUUUGAUCCUGGCUCAGGAUGAACGCUGGCGGCGUGCUUAACACAUGCAAGUCGAACGGGAAAUAUUUCAUUGAGACUUCGGUGGAUUUGAUCUAUUUCUAGUGGCGGACGGGUGAGUAACGCGUGGGUAACCUGCCUUAUACAGGGGGAUAACAGUCAGAAAUGGCUGCUAAUACCGCAUAAGCGCACAGAGCUGCAUGGCUCAGUGUGAAAAACUCCGGUGGUAUAAGAUGGACCCGCGUUGGAUUAGCUAGUUGGUGGGGUAACGGCCUACCAAGGCAACGAUCAGUAGCCGGCUUGAGAGAGUGAACGGCCACAUUGGGACUGAGACACGGCCCAGACUCCUACGGGAGGCAGCAGUGGGGAAUAUUGCACAAUGGGGGAAACCCUGAUGCAGCGACGCCGCGUGGAGGAAGAAGGUUUUCGGAUUGUAAACUCCUGUCGUUAGGGACGAUAAUGACGGUACCUAACAAGAAAGCACCGGCUAACUACGUGCCAGCCGCCGCGGUAAUAC
rnacentral:rRNA from 1 species